GAUGAACGCUGGCGGCGUGCUUAACACAUGCAAGUCGAACGGGAAACCUUUUAUUGAAGCUUCGGCAGAUUUAGCUGGUUUCUAGUGGCGGACGGGUGAGUAACGCGUGGGUAACCUGCCUUAUACAGGGGGAUAACAACCAGAAAUGGUUGCUAAUACCGCAUAAGCGCACAGGACCGCAUGGUCCGGUGUGAAAAACUCCGGUGGUAUAAGAUGGACCCGCGUUGGAUUAGCUAGUUGGCAGGGUAACGGCCUACCAAGGCGACGAUCCAUAGCCGGCCUGAAAGGGUGAACGGCCACAUUGGGACUGAGACACGGCCCAGACUCCUACGGGAGGCAGCAGUGGGGAAUAUUACACAAUGGGGGAAACCCUGAUGCAGCGGCGCCGCGUGAAGGAAGAAGUAUAUCGGUAUGUAAAAUUCUAUCAGCAGGGAAGAUAGUGACGGUACCUGACUAAGAAGCCACGGCUAACUACGUG
rnacentral:rRNA from 1 species